UACAGUCAUAUCAUAUUGAAACAUUGGUUCCCGUAUGAUCACUGAAGUUAAACAGCAUCGAGCCUGUUUAAUACCUAGAUGGGUGACAGCUUUGAAAUAUCGGGUGGUGUAAG